rnacentral:lncRNA from 1 species
GAAAAUAUCAAUCAAGUUUUAAAUCUUAAAUUAAGAAAAAUGCAAUAAGGUUUUUCUUUUUUAAAGGGAAAUCAAUGAAAAAGAUUAAGGCAAAGAUAAUGAUAAUGGAGCUAAAUAAAAAUAUAAAUCAUGAAAGUGGAUAGAGAGCAAAUGGUAAUAAUAUAAUAAAAAUUAAUUAAUAAAAAUUUAUUUAGGGAGCUUUAGCGUACUGCAAAAAGCGAUGCAAAAGCAGCUUGCAAGACGAUUAGGAACUUUGGGAAUUGGGAGGGAACGAAAUAUGUUAACUUGUUUACCAACGUUUUCACCCUGACAAUGCCUGGUGCAUUGACCAUAAUAACGCAAGUUGGAAUGCGAAAAUAGAAGAAUCAACGAAGCAGACGGACCCAUGGAGAUGUUACAUCAACAGAAAUCAGUUUUUAAUCGACUUAUUUUGUGUAUAAAGACAAAGGAAUUACCUUAAAAAAGUGAUGGUGUAAAGUUGUUCAGUAUGCUGCAUUCUUUUAGAAAUAUUCGCCAAAUUGUUGCGUUGGGUAGUGUCUAUUGGAAUACCGCCCUCUAGGGGUUAAAUUAUACUAUUGAGAAAGGCGACACCCUUGAUGGGUGCAACUAUUGAGAAGGACGAUACCCUUGAUGGGUGCUACCGAGAGAGACGACACCCUUGAUGGGUGCUACUAAUUGUAAAAGACGAUACCCUUGAUGGGUGUUUCCGAGAAAGACUCUAUAUUAACACAACACCCUUGAUGGGUGCCUACUAUUGAGAAGGACGACACCCUUGAUGGGUGCUACUAUUGAGAAGGACGACACCCUUGAUGGGUGCUACUAUUGAGAAAGAUGAUACCCUUGAUGGGUGCUGCCAAGAAAGACUCUAUUAUUUAUUAACACAACACCCUUGAUGGGUGCCUACUAUUGAGAAGGACGACACCCUUGAUGGGUGCUACUAUUGAGAAGGACGACACCCUUGAUGGGUGCUACUAUUGAGAAGGACGACACCCUUGAUGGGUGCUACUAUUGAGAAAGAUGAUACCCUUGAUGGGUGCUACCGAGAAAGACAACACCCUUGAUGGGUGAUCGCCAACAAAUUAAUUCAAUUUAGAAUUAUAAAUGUAUAAUGUAUUGUUUAUAAAUGGAUAAUGUUUUGUAAAGAAGACAAAGAGGGUCAAUGAUAAUAUUUCUCCAAGGAACCUCAAUCUCUGUUGUCAAACAUUUGUCCGAUAUUUGUAAAGAAGAAAAUAAGACGAUGGAUAUCGACCUCCGGGUAAGGGUUAAUCAAAUAAAUUAAUCGUUCGUUAUACGAUUACGAAUUCGAGAACGAAAAUAGAAAUCAGAAAAAAAGGCUGUCAAUCAUUUUGUCCGAUCUGCGUUUGGCGAAAAAAAUAAGACGUUUGACAUCGACCUCCGGUUAUAAGGAUUAAAGCAAAACAAAAGCAGACAAAAUUAUGUACAAGAGUACGAGUACUAAACCGCGGAGAAAAUAUUGUUUGUGCGAAAUAUAGAGUGGCCAAGUGUAGUAUUUUUUUUUUUGAUCUCCGUUCGAUUGAAAAUGACUCAAAAAGAUUACAUGUAUAAAUUAAAAGGUGAAAAUCCUAAUGGGUAGUAAAUCAACGAAGAGAAAUUAUUAUAGCAGAACCGUGGCGUAAAAUUAAUUGAUUGUCAAUCAUUAAUUUGCCAUAUGUUUGUGUAUUAAUUUGCCAUAUGUUUGUGUAUGAAAUAAGUAAGACAUGGAUAUCGACCAAUUAUAGUUAUGGAUUAAAACAACAAAUGUAUCGUUCGUUAAAAAUUACGAGUUCGUAUGGAGAGUACGUACUAAACCGCGGAGAAAAUUAUGUUAGUGCGAAAUUAUAGUGUGGCCAAGUGUAUUAUUUUUAAUUGAUCUCUGUUCGAUUGAAAAUGACUUUCAAAAAGAUUACAUGUAUAAAUUAAAAGGUGAAAAUCCUAGAGGGUAGUAAAUCAGCGAAGAGAAAUUAUUACAGCAGAACCGUGCCAUACAAACAAUUGAUUGUCAAUAAUUAAUAUGCCAUAUGUUUGUGUAUUAAUUUGCCAUAUGUUUGUGUAUGACGUAAAUAAGACGAUGGAUAUCGACAAAUUAAAGUGAUGGAUUAAAACAACAAAUUAUCGUUCGUUAAAAAUUACGAGUUCUGUUGAGUUGUGAGUCGAACCGUGAAAUCGAAGGCAUUGCAACUAGUUGUCGAUCAUUUUGUCCGAUGUAGGUAGAAAAUAAGACGGUAAAUCUCGAUCUGCUGGCUAGUAUGGAUUAAAACACCAAUUGUAUUAUUCGUUAAGAAUUGCAGGUUCAUGUUGAGUUCCGUUUGUAACAAUUCGUUAAGGCAUUGUGUACGCAUUUAACUUUACUUAAUUUCAGUCGCGUCUAUCAUCCGUUUGCUCGUCAUCUACAUUGAAACUUACUGUGAAAAAAUCCUAGGGCCAUGUGUACAAAAUGAUCAUCGCCGUGUUUUCUUGUGUUUUCUUCUGAACUUAUGUGGAAGGUUUUUAACAUUAUUCUGGGCCCAUGUGUGAACCUAUCUUACUUUUCAUAAGAUGGAUAUCUUACUUUGUCUUUGCCAACAUUCUUUCUAAUUUAUUUUGCAAAAUUAUUUUAGGGACAUGUGGAUUAAAACAACAAAUGUAUCGUUCGUUAAAAAUUACGAGUUCGUGUUGAGAGUACGAGCACUAAACCGCGGAGAAAAUAAUGUUUGUGCGAAAUUAUAGUGUGGCCAAGUGUAUUUUUGUUUAAUUGAUCUCCGUUCGAUUGAAAAUGACUUUCAAAAAGAUGACAUAUAUAAAUUAAAAGGUGAAAAUCCUAGAGGGUAGUAAAUCCACGAAGAGAAAUUAUCACAUCAGAACAGUGGCAUAAAAACAAUUGAUUGUCAAUAAAUAAUGGCCAUAUGUUUGUGUAUUAAUUUGCCAUAUGUUUGUGUAUGACGUAAAUAAGACGGUGGAUAUCGACCAAUGUUAGUUAUGGAUUAAAGCAACAAAUGCAUCGUUCGUUAAAAAUUACGAGUUCGUGUUGAGAGUACGAGUGCUAAACCGCGGAGAAAAUAAUGUUUGUGUGAAAUUAUAGUGUUAUUAAUUUUUAUAGAAAUUAUUAAUUUGCCAUAUGUUUGUGUAUUGAUUUGCCAUAUGUUUGUGUAUAAAUUUGCCAUAUGUUUGUGUAUAAAUUUGCCAUAUGUUUGUGCAUGACGUAAAUAAGACAUGGAUAUCGAAAAAUAUUAUAGUUAUGGAUUAAAACAACAAAUUAUCGUUUGUUAAAGAUUACGAGUUCGUGUUGAGUUUGAGUGGAACCGUGAAAUCGAAGGCAUUGCAACUAGUUGUCAAUCAUUUGUCCGAUGUAGGUAGAAAAUAAGACGGUAAAUAUCGAUCUGCUGGCUAGUAUGGAUUAAAACAAAAUUUUGUAUUACUAAGAACUGCAGGUUCGUGUUGAGUUCCGUUUGUAACAAAUCGUUAAGGCCAUGUGUACGCAUCUAACUUUUCUAAAUUUCAAUCGCGUCUAUCAUCCGUUUUCUCGCCAUCUACAUCAAAACUUAUUGUUUAAAAAAUCCUGCGCCAUGUGUACAAAUUUUCAUCGCCGUGUUUUCUUGUGUUUUCUUCUGUACUUAUGUGACAGGUUUUAACAUGAUUCUAGGGCCAUGUGAACCUAUCUUACUUUUCAUAAGAUGGAUAUCUUACUUUGUCUUUGCCAAAAUUCGUAAUUUAUUUUGCAAAAUUAUUUUAGGGCCAUGUGGUGUUAAGAUCAUAUCUGUUCUGUAGAAAUACCUCAAAAAGUCGGACGUGUUAUUUUCUUGAAAACUGUUUGCGCAUUCAUCCCGUCUUGAGUGCAAAUCAUUGUGAAAAAUGCUCUAGGGCCAUGUGUUAAGCAUCCAUAGGUAUUUUGAUGCUUAAAAUAACUCGAAUUUAAGUUGUAUUAUUCACUCUACUUGUGAAAUACACUAGGGCCAUGUUUACAAAUUUAAACUUUGUUCGUCUGUUUGGUAACAAUUUCGUCAACUACGUCAUGCCCAUCUGUCAAAACUUCGAGAUUUAUUGUGCAAACAAAAUGUUUUACAUGUAUAGGGGUCAUGUGCAUUUCUUAUGGAUUCCUUGAAACAUGUAACAGUCGUUGAACGCAAUCUGAAUAAUGGUUUUUAAUGAUUCCACAUUAUUAUUCCGUGACAUGAAAUAGUCUCUGAUCCUCAUUGCCGAAAUGUGUCUUAUUGACAUAGAUUAUUGUUUAUGAUUUAUUCUUUCAUAAUAUUCGAUUCGCAAAGAUCGGUAAUUGCCUUUUGUGUUAGCGCCAUGGUGUCAAUGUUGUUUAUUGUAAAUCAGGUGUAAUGACACCUGUUAGGUCGUGACGCCUUGUAAUCGCUUUGUAAAGUCACAAGUGUAUAUAGCCUGAAUUAACAGAGUGAAAUUAUACAUCAACUGAUUUUUGUAACACCCACAACGCCAGUGGAGGUUGAUCGAUUGUUACUUUUCAAUCAUAAUAUGGUUUCAAUGAUUCCAUAAAACUAUUAUUUCGCGACAUAGUACAGUCUCUAAUUCUCACCGAAAUGUGUCUCUUUGCCGUAGAUAAUUGUGAUUUAGUCUUGCAUAAAAUCCGAUUGGCAAAGAUCGGUAAUAGCCUUUUGUGUUAAGGCCAUGGUGACACUGUUGCACAUGUAAAUCAGGUGCAAUGACACCUGUUGCAUAUGUAAAUCAGGUGCAAUGACACCUGUUGCAUAUGUAAAUCAGGUGCAAUGACACCUGUUACGUCUGACACACCUUGUAAUCGCUUUGUAAAGUGUAGCCUGAAUCAGGCUACAGAGUGAAACAAUAGGCAUCCAUUUAUUUGUUUUUACACCCACAACACCAGUUGAGGUUUUGAUGGAUAGUACUUUCCAAUUCUGAUAAGUCCGAUCGCAGCAGGUCGGCAAUAUUGCUUCCCUUAAAACAGGUGCGCGUUGCUUUCUGCAAAUUGGAAUUAUCAUCUUCGCGACCAGUAGGUCUCAACCCUCAAAAUAAUGAUCUAUAAAAGUAAGUUUUCUUUCUCUACGGUUGAAUCCAUUACAGUGGUCAGGUAAGGGCCACUAAUUGGAUUAUCUUCAUCUUGUAUGCAAGAUACUUUGCAUCAUGUUAGGCCAAGAGACUAAAACUAAGUUUUCAUUUUGUCUGAUUGUAUCAUUAUAGCAGUGGUAGGACCAUAAUCCAUUGCAGUGGUCAGGUGAGGGCCACUAAUUGGAUUAUUUUUAUCAUCUGUACUUUGCAGCCAGUUAGGCCUAUAUACCUUAACUAAGUUUCUUUUUCUAUGAUUGUGUCAUUGAUUGUGUCAUUGAUUGUAUCAUAGUGGUCAGGUAAGGACCAUUAAUAUACGAUUUCCUUCUCUUUAUACAACAGCACCGGUCACAAAUUUGACCAAGAAACCACUGUACAGUGUACUAACAAAUCUAGCUCCGCUAGGAAGAUUCUUUUAUUUUCAGCAACUUGCAUUUAGAUUAGGAGGACCAGCAUGCAAACCAGAGUGCUCAUAUCAGGAACCGGAAGCAGGGACGAGGAACAACGGAUGACUGAUGACGACCCUGCUUAUUGGGCAACCCAUUACUGAUUUCUCAGAGAUGACGGUCUGCAAGGUGAGACGUCAUUCCUGACGAAGAUACGAUCACUUCUGAAUCCCAAGGAACCGGAAGCAGGGGGAAGACCGACGGAAGGACUGAAGGCCCUGCUUGUAUAGCAAGUCUUCACCAUUUCUUGAGAUUCCUCUUGCUUAAUAGCAGCACAGACGAUGAUGAUACAGUUCACCAGGACACGAACACGAAUUUGAGCAACACUCGACUGAGUUUUACAACGGCCAUCUCCUGAAACUUCCCAUACGAUUCUCUUAACUAUUUUUGUAAACGGAACAGCGCCUUCCUGAAAUAUCACAGCUAUAAUGCCCUCUGUUAAGAAAAACAUGGGCAAUUUCAAAUGUUAACUACUUGACAUCCGUUGUUGGUUAAUUUUUAUUAAAAGUGCCAUUGUUGGCUUAACAGAAUUGGUGUUUUUUCUUCUAAAAGCAGCUUGCGCACACUUUUUCUAAGCCGAAUUAUAAUAUUAGCGUUCGAGUACUGUAGUGCUGUAUGGGGAGGAACGUACUCGACGAGAAUUAUCAACAAAUGUUUUAAAAGUGCCGCAUGAAUGAUCCUGAAAAUGUACCUCCUUCACUUCUUCAGCAGAUACGUUUCCUAGACUAAACUGGGUAACAUUUUCCGAAAGAGUUAAGUCUAAAAAGGCUGGGGAGUUUUGCUUUCAAAAUCCUGAACAAAAUAACUGCUUUGUAAUUAUAACAACCUUUUCGCACCCCAGUUUUUCUUGCGUGAAAUAUUCCCACAACUAAAAUUGAAAGUCACUUUCGCCAAAAAAAGGAAUUGUUUUGUCAGAAGCUUCGCACUUCGCUGUGAGUGGUACAAUUAUAUGGAAUACUAUGCACAAAUAACUGAGAAUUAUAGAUUCCCAGGUGGGCCAAUUCAGAACUAUACUUAAAGCCAUCAGCCACCGAUAUUUCUGCCACUAACGUGCAAUUUCAAUAUGCGCUGAAAACCGCUGAUCUACGGAGUUAUAAACUUGGUUGCCACGGUAAUUUGGAGCCGGAUGGGAAUUUCCCCGUGUUUUUCCCAAAAGGGUUUUCGCGGGGUUUUCGCCCAUCCCGUGAUCAGCAAAUAGAGCAUUAUACUGGAAUGUUUAGUUAUAUUGGUGUAAAUAUUUUCUAUAUUUUAGGAUUUUUUUGUCAUAGAUUUUACCUUUUUUAAGCCAGAAAUCCAUUGGUAACAUUGUUCUUGCUUUUAAAAUAAAUAAAUAUGGAUCAUUUAAUAUUAGUUACUCAUUAAUAGACAGUUCAAUAGAUAGAACACAUUAAAGGAAACACCGGACACGUUUGCUACUUGUCACAAAAGAAAUUGUACAACAGAUUUUGCUUUAUUUCAUUAACUUUGCUGUUAUUUAUGGUUUGCAUUGUCAAUGUAAUUGAAGUAGAAACUGUGCCGUGUUGAGAAUUGUUUCAUGCACAACUCAAGUUCUCUAAUUUUCAAUUUCUCAAAACUUCAAUUUCACUGAAAAGGGCAGAUUAUGUUAACUGUAAAAAAAAAAAUACGACUUCAUGAACCAUAAUGAUGUUUUCUUUUGCAAAACAAUUCCUGAAUUGGUCAGCAUACAGUGACACAUUCUAAAAACAAAAUUUGGCUGUACACUGUAUAUCAAAAAUGGUAGUUUCUUUCUUAAAAACACACAAAAAACGGCCUAUGGAAUGUUUAUGAAAUCACACGAAAGCCAGCAGUUUUUACCACAAGGCUUAAAAUUACUGCCUCAAUAAUUCCUUGGAAAAAUUAUUAUUAUUAUAAAUUGAUUGCCAGUUAAAUAAUAUAGUUUAUUUGCUCUAUUACGGUAAAAUCUUAAGUGUAAACAUAAAUUGUUAGGUACAUUGUAAAGGACUGUUUAAUGUUUGUAAACUGUUUCCUUUUACAGCAGUUUUGUGGGGGAGGGGGGGGGGGAAUGCAGAAAUAAAUUACAAAACCAUGGAAUGACAA